rnacentral:rRNA from 1 species
AACGAACGCUGGCGGCAUGCCUAACACAUGCAAGUCGAACGAGACCUUCGGGUCUAGUGGCGCACGGGUGCGUAACGCGUGGGAACCUUCCCUUAGGUUCGGAAUAACUCCCCGAAAGGGGUGCUAAUACCGGAUAAUGUCUUCGGACCAAAGAUUUAUCGCCUUUGGAUGGGCCCGCGUUGGAUUAGCUAUUUGGUAGGGUAAAAGCCUACCAAGGCGACGAUCCAUAGCUGGUCUGAGAGGAUGAUCAGCCACACUGGGACUGAGACACGGCCCAGACUCAGACGGGAGGCAGCAGAAGGGAAGAGGCGGCAAUGGGGGAAACACGGAACGAGCAACGCCGCGGGAGUGAAGAAGGUUUUCGGAGCGGAAAGCUAUGUUGUAAGUCAAGAACGGGGGUGAGAGUGGAAAGUUCACACUGUGACGGUAGCUUACCAGAAAGGGACGGCUAACUACGUG